GACGAACGCUGGCGGCGUGCUUAACACAUGCAAGUCGAACGGAAAGGCCCUGCUUUUGUGGGGUGCUCGAGUGGCGAACGGGUGAGUAACACGUGAGUAACCUGCCCUUGACUUUGGGAUAACUUCAGGAAACUGGGGCUAAUACCGGAUAGGAGCUCCUGCUGCAUGGUGGGGGUUGGAAAGUUUCGGCGGUUGGGGAUGGACUCGCGGCUUAUCAGCUUGUUGGUGGGGUAGUGGCUUACCAAGGCUUUGACGGGUAGCCGGCCUGAGGGGGUGACCGGCGACGGUGGGACUGAGAUACGGCCCAGCCUCCUACGGGAGGCAGGAGUGGGGGAGAUUGCAGCGGGGGCGGAGGCCUGAUGCAGCGAUGCCGCGGGCGGGAUGAAGGGGGUUGGGUGGGAAAAAGAAGCCGCCUGUGCUGAAGCGUGAGGGGAGGUGAUGGGGAAAGAAGAAAAGGCGAAAGACGGG
rnacentral:rRNA from 1 species